rnacentral:rRNA from 1 species
GACGAACGCUGGCGGCGUGCUUAACACAUGCAAGUCGAACGGAAAGGCUCCAGCUUGCUGGAGUACUCGAGUGGCGAACGGGUGAGUAACACGUGGGUAAUCUGCCCUGCACUCUGGGAUAAGCCUGGGAAACUGGGUCUAAUACUGGAUAUGACCUUUCUCCUUAUGGGGGUUGGUGGAAAGUUUUUCGGUGUAGGAUGAGCCCGCGGCCUAUCAGCUUGUUGGUGGGGUUAUGGCCUACCAAGGCGACGACGGGUAGCCGGCCUGAGAGGGUGAUCGGCCACAUUGGGACUGAGAUACGGCCCAGACUCCUACGGGAGGCAGCAGUGGGGAAUAUUGCACAAUGGGCGGAAGCCUGAUGCAGCGACGCCGCGUGAGGGAUGACGGCCUUCGGGUUGUAAACCUCUUUCAGCAGGGACGAAGCGUAAGUGACGGUACCUGCAGAAGAAGCACCGGCUAACUAUGUG